GACGAACGCUGGCGGCGUGCUUAACACAUGCAAGUCGAGCGGUAAGGCCCUUUCGGGGGUACACGAGCGGCGAACGGGUGAGUAACACGUGGGUGACCUGCCCUCAGCUCUGGGAUAAGCCUGGGAAACCGGGUCUAAUACUGGAUAUGACUCCAUGACGCAUGUUGGUGGGGUGGAAAGCCUUGUGCGGCUGAGGAUGGGCCCGCGGCCUAUCAGCUUGUUGGGUGGGGUGAGGCCUACCAAGGCGACGACGGGUAGCCGGCCUGAGAGGGCGACCGGCCACACUGGGACUGAGACAC
rnacentral:rRNA from 1 species